CAAUAGCGUAUAUUAAAGUUGUUGCGGUAAAAAAGCUCGUAGUUGGAUUUCUGUUGAGAGCGACCGGUCCAUACCAUGUAUGCGUAUCUGGCUUGCUCUCGGCAUCCUCUCGAUAGACGUUACUGCGCUUGAUUGCGUGGUGCGGAUCUCGGGACUUUUACUUUGAGGAAAUUAGAGUGUUCACGGCAGGCUUUCGCCAGAAUACAUUAGCAUGGAAUAAUACUAUAGGAUCUUGGUUCUAUUUUGUUGGUUACUAGAAUUGAGAUAAUGAUUAAUAGGGACAAUUGGGGGCAUUCGUAUCAACACGUCAGAGGUGGAAUUCUUGGAUUGUGUUGCGACGAACUACUGCGAAAGCAUUUGCCAAGGAUGUUUUCAUUGA
rnacentral:rRNA from 1 species